GCUACUUUGGUGAUGUCAACCUAAGACUUUGAGCAGUAACAGAUCAAGGACCAGUGGGUGGCGGAGGAGCAAAAGCACUCUUGUGUGCUGGUCUUUAUUUUCUGUUUGUUUCUGUUUGUUUCUAAUGCAACAGAAAUGCUGUUUACUUCUUACUUUUAUGAAUUCAUAUCAGUGACCUUUGGGCAGAAAUAUCGAAAUUCAUUGCUGAAGGGCAGCUUGAGACAGCAAGACUGAUCGACACUCCUUCAACCCACACUCUCCUUUCAGGUCACAUCAGUGUGUGUCUUCCCUUUCUCAAUGUCUUUAAAUUUUGCUCAGUUUCAUCAGUGGUCUUAUGGCUGAAUGCCUUCAUUUAUUCACUUGACAAUUUCUUCUUCUUCUUUUUAAAACAACAUUUCACA
rnacentral:lncRNA from 1 species